CACUAUUUUCAUUCUGUUGCCUUUGGCCUUUGACCAUAGUUGUUUUAUCUAUCUGUCAAAAGUCAAAAUCACUAAUCUUCACCUCUCCUUCUUUCUCUCACUUUCACUGAGUAGAACCGUGUCAAAAUCACUCCGAUUCGGAAGAACCUUACCAAAAUCACUCUAAUUCGUAAUCCUUAUGUCUUCAUCAUAAUCGACUUUUCAACAAACAUGGGAUAGUCUUUCAAAAUAAAAUACAUGUGAUAGAAUUGCCGAAGCUUCUCAGAAAAAUCUCUGAUCUGAAGCUUGAAAUUGUUAAUCGCCGUCUUCAUUUUCAGUCAUCUUCGUGUUCCUUCUUCAUCAUUGUCUUUGUGUUCUGUCUCUGAGAAUUGCAAUUCCUCAAAUUGUGUAUCAGAAUCAAUGAAGAAGGGAACAACUCAGUGACUGGACUAAGGUUGUGGUGCAUGCAAUGCUAUUUUGGUUAGU
rnacentral:lncRNA from 1 species